GUUUCUAUAGUGUAGUGGUCAUCACGUUCGCCUAACACGCGAAAGGUCCCGGUUCGAAACCGAGUAGAAACA
rfam:Danio rerio chromosome 4, GRCz11 reference primary assembly.